UUAAAACUUUCAACAAUGGAUCUCUUGGUUCCGGCAUCGAUGAAGAACGCAGCGAAAUGCGAUAACUAAUGUGAAUUGCAGAAUUCAGUGAAUCAUCGAGUCUUUGAACGCACAUUGCGCCCCCUGGUAUUCCGGGGGGCAUGCCUGUCCGAGCGUCAUU
rnacentral:rRNA from 2 species